rfam:Parcubacteria group bacterium CG2_30_48_51 cg2_3.0_scaffold_1952_c, whole genome shotgun sequence.
UGCGGGAUCGUCUAACGGUAGGACAGUGGCCUUUGAAGCCAUUUAUCCAGGUUCGAAUCCUGGCCCCGCAG